rnacentral:lncRNA from 1 species
AACAUGAAACUUAAUCACAUCACCAUCAAACUCCAUAGUUAAUGCUCCCUUGGACACAUCAAUCUUGGUUUGGGCUGUUUUCAUGAAAGGUCUUCCAAGUAAGAUUGGCAAUGGUGUAGAAUGGGCUGAAUCCUCCAUCUCAAGCACCAAAAAAUCUACUGGAAAAAUCAAAUGGUCUACUUGCACCAAAACAUCUUCCAAAACUCUUUUCGGAUAUGCAUUAGAUCGAUUAGCCAAUUGAAUAAUGACACCAUCAUUUUUAAGCUUUCUUAGAUUCAUAGAUGUAUAAACGGAAUAUGACAUGAUAUUAAUGGAAGCACCUAAAUCUAGCAUAGCAUGUUCAAACCUUGUAUUACCAAUAACACAAGGGAUAGUGAAACUACCUGGAUCUUUGCAUUUAGGUGGCAGCUUUCUUUGCAAAACUACAGAGACAUUUUCACUUACAUGUACCACCUCUUUCUCAGGAAUCCGUUUCUUUGUUGUACAAAGCUUCUUAAAAAACUUAGCAUACUUUGGAACUUGCUUUAUUGCAUUAAGAAGCGGGAUAUUAACUUGUAC